rnacentral:rRNA from 1 species
UACGGAGGGUGCGAGCGUUGUCCGGAAUCAUUGGGCGUAAAGGGCGCGUAGGUGGCCCCUCAAGCGUGCGGUGAAAGUCAGGGGCUCAACCCCUGAUCGGCCGUGCGAACUGGGGAGCUUGAGCACUGUAGAGGCAGGCGGAAUUCCGGGUGUAGCGGUGGAAUGCGUAGAGAUCCGGAAGAACACCGGUGGCGAAGGCGGCCUGCUGGGCAGUUUUGCUGACACUGAGGAGCGAAAGCGUGGGGAGCGAACAGG